CAGAGACCCAUGGACCUAGAAUCCAGGACCAAUGGAACAGCUGUUACUGAGUUUAUCCUGCUGGGCUUGGUGGAGACACAAGUGCUACAACCAGUUGUCUUUGUAGUCUUCUUCUUUGCCUACCUGGUCACAGUCGGAGGCAACCUCUGCAUCCUGGCUGCCAUCUUCAUAGAGCCUAAACUCCACACCCCAUGUACUUCUUCCUAGGCAAUCUAUCAGUGCUGGAUGUUGGGUGCAUCACCGUCACUGUUCCCUCAAUGUUGGCUCGUCUCCUGUCCAACAAGCGUACAAUUCCCUAUGGAGCCUGCCUCACACAGCUUUUCUUCUUUCAUCAGUUGGCUGGCGUGGACUGCUUCUUACUGACAGCCAUGGCCUAUGACCGAUUCCUGGCCAUCUGCCAGCCCCUUACCUACAGCACCCGAAUGAGCCAGACAGUCCAGAGGAUAUUGGUAGCUGUGUCCUGGGCUUUAGCUUUCACCAAUGCACUGACCCACACAGUAGCCAUAGCCACACUCAACUUCUGUGGUCCCAAUGUGAUCAAUCACUUCUAUUGUGACCUCCCACAGCUCUUUCAGCUCUCCUGCUCCAGCACUCAGUUCAACGAGCUGCUGCUCUUCGGUCUGGGCAUCCUCAUGGCAGGUGCACCUGUGAUUCUCAUCAUCACCUCCUACGCCCAUGUGGCAGCUGCAGUCCUACGAAUCCGCUCUGUUGAGGGCAGAAAGAAAGCUUUCUCUACAUGUGGCUCCUACCUCACUGUGGUGGGCAUAUUCUAUGAGACAGGUGUCUUCAGCUACAUGAGGCUGGGCUCCGUGGAGGCCUCAGACAAGGACAAAGGGAUCGGCAUCUUCAACACCGUCAUUAGCCCCAUGCUGAACCCACUCAUUUACAGCCUCUGGAACCCUGAUGUGCAGGGGGCUCUGCGGCAUGUGCUCACAGGGAAGCGAGCCCUUGUAUGA